rnacentral:rRNA from 1 species
AAAUCAGGUAGGACUACCCGCUGAACUUAAGCAUAUCAAUGGAAAAAGGA